rnacentral:rRNA from 1 species
CCUACGGGUGGCAGCAGUCGAGAAUCAUUCACAAUGGGGGAAACCCUGAUGGUGCGACGCCGCGUGGGGGAAUGAAGGUCUUCGGAUUGUAAACCCCUGUCAUGUGGGAGCAAAUUAAAAAGAUAGUACCACAAGAGGAAGAGACGGCUAACUCUGUGCCAGCAGCCGCGGUAAUACAGAGGUCUCAAGCGUUGUUCGGAAUCACUGGGCGUAAGGCGUGCGUAGGCUGUUUCGUAAGUCGUGUGUGAAAGGCGAGGGGUCAACCCGCGGACGGCACAUGAUACUGCGAGACUAGAGUAAUGGAGGGGGAACCGGAAUUCUCGGUGUAGCAGUGAAAUGCGUAGAUAUCGAGAGGAACACUCGUGGCGAAGGCGGGUUCCUGGACAUUAACUGACGCUGAGGCACGAAGGCCAGGGGAGCGAAAGGGAUUAGAUACCCUUGUAGUC